GACGAACGCUGGCGGCGCGCUUAACACAUGCAAGUCGAACGGAAAGGCCUGCUUUCCCUUGUGGAUUGCGGGUACUCGAGUGGCGAACGGGUGAGUAACACGUGAGUGAUCUGCCCCCAACUUGGGUAUAAGCCUGGGAAACUGGGUCUAAUUCCCGAUAGGACUGCAGGGUGGUGCCUGUGGUGGAAAACGAUUUUCUAGUGGUUGGGGAUGAGCUCGCGGCCUAUCAGCUUGUUGGUGGGGUAAUGGCCUGCCAAGGCGGCGACGGGUAGCCGGCCUGAGAGGGUGGACGGCCACAUUGGGACUGGGAUACGGCCCAGACUCCUACGGGAGGCAGCAGUGGGGAAGAUUGCACAAUGGGCGGAAGCCUGAUGCAGCGACGCAGCGUGGGGGAUGACGGCCUUCGGGUUGUAAACUCCUUUCGACCGCGAGGAAGCCACCUGGUUGGAAGGGUGGUGACGGUAGUGGUAGAAGAAGCACCGGCUAACUACGUG
rnacentral:rRNA from 1 species